rnacentral:rRNA from 1 species
GAGGAAUAUUGGUCAAUGGACGCAAGUCUGAACCAGCCAUGUCGCGUGCAGGAUGACUGCCCUAUGGGUUGUAAACUGCUUUUGUAUGGGAAGAAAGUGAGAUACGUGUAUCUCUUUGCCGGUACCAUACGAAUAAGGAUCGGCUAACUCCGUGCCAGCAGCCGCGGUAAUACGGAGGAUCCAAGCGUUAUCCGGAUUUAUUGGGUUUAAAGGGUGCGUAGGCGGUUUAAUAAGUCAGUGGUGAAAUCUUGCAGCUUAACUGUAAAAUUGCCAUUGAUACUGCUAGACUUGAGUAUAGUUGAGGUGGGCGGAAUGUGUUGUGUAGCGGUGAAAUGCAUAGAUAUAUCACAGAACACCAAUUGCGAAGGCAGCUCACUAAGCUAUAACUGACGCUGAGGCACGAAAGCGUGGGUAGCGAAC